UGGCGAACGGGUGAGUAAUACAUCGGAACGUGUCCGCUCGUGGGGACAACCAGCCGAAAGGUUGGCUAAUACCGCAUGAGUUCUACGGAAGAAAGAGGGGGACCCGCAAGGGCCUCUCGCGAGCGGAGCGGCCGAUGACUGAUUAGCCGGUUGGUGAGGUAACGGCUCACCAAAGCAACGAUCAGUAGCUGGUCUGAGAGGACGACCAGCCACACUGGGACUGAGACACGGCCCAGACUCCUACGGAAGGCAGCAG
rnacentral:rRNA from 1 species